AUUGAACGCUGGCGGCAUGCCUUACACAUGCAAGUCGAACGGCAGCACGGGAGCAAUCCUGGUGGCGAGUGGCGAACGGGUGAGUAAUAUAUCGGAACGUGCCCAGUCGUGGGGGAUAACGUAGCGAAAGCUACGCUAAUACCGCAUACGAUCUAUGGAUGAAAGCGGGGGAUCGCAAGACCUCGCGCGAUUGGAGCGGCCGAUAUCAGAUUAGGUAGUUGGUGAGGUAAAGGCUCACCAAGCCGACGAUCUGUAGCUGGUCUGAGAGGACGACCAGCCACACUGGGACUGAGACACGGCCCAGACUCCUACGGGAGGCAGCAGUGGGGAAUUUUGGACAAUGGCGCAAGCCUGAUCCAGCAAUGCCGCGUGCAGGAUGAAGGCCUUCGGGUUG
rnacentral:rRNA from 1 species